GGCUCAGAACGAACGCUGGCGGCAGGCUUAACACAUGCAAGUCGAGCGCGUGUAGCAAUACACGAGCGGCGCACGGGUGAGUAACGCGUGGAUAUCUGCCUUUUGGUUCGGAAUAACCCCGGGAAACUGGGGCUAAUACCGAAUGGUUCCUACGGGAUAAAGAUUUAUCGCCAAAAGAUGAGUCCGCGUCCGAUUAGCUAGUUGGUGAGGUAACGGCCCACCAAGGCGACGAUCGGUAGCUGGUCUGAGAGGAUGAUCAGCCUCACUGGGACUGAGACACGGCCCAGACUCCUACGGGAGGCAGCAGUGGG
rnacentral:rRNA from 1 species